ACAGAGGAGGUGAGGACAGAGGAUGUAAGGACAGAGGAGGUGAGGACAGAGGAUGUGAGGACAGAGGAGGUGAGGACAGAGGAGGUGAGGACAGAGGAUGUAAGGACAGAGGAGGUGAGGACAGAGGAUGUGAGGACAGAGGAUGUAAGGACAGAGGAGGUGAGGACAGAGGUGAGGACAGAGGAGGACAGAGGAGGUGAGGACAGAGGUGAGGACAGAGGAGGUGAGGACAGAGGACAGAGGAGGUGAGGACAGAGGAUGUAAGGACAGAGGAGGUGAGGACAGAGGAUGUGAGGACAGAGGAUGUGAGGACAGAGGAGGUGAGGACAGAGGAGGUGAGGACAGAGGAUGUAAGGACAGAGGAUGUAAGGACAGAGGAGGUGAGGACAGAGGAGGUGAGGACAGAGGACAGAGGAGGUGAGGACAGAGGAUGUAAGGACAGAGGAGGUGAGGACAGAGGAUGUGAGGACAGAGGAGGUGAGGACAGAGG